AUUGAACGCUGGCGGCAUGCCUUACACAUGCAAGUCGAACGGCAGCACGGGAGCAAUCCUGGUGGCGAGUGGCGAACGGGUGAGUAAUAUAUCGGAACGUGCCCAGUCGUGGGGAUAACGUAGCGAAAGCUACGCUAAUACCGCAUACGAUCUAUGGAUGAAAGCGGGGGAUCGCAAGACCUCGCGCGAUUGGAGCGGCCGAUAUCAGAUUAGGUAGUUGGUGAGGUAAAGGCUCACCAAGCCGACGAUCUGUAGCUGGUCUGAGAGGACGACCAGCCACACUGGGACUGAGACACGGCCCAGACUCCUACGGAGGCAGCAGUGGGGAAUUUUUGGACAAUGGGCGGCAAGCCUGAUCCAGCAAUGCCGCGUGCAGGAUGAAGGCCUCGGUUGUAAC
rnacentral:rRNA from 1 species